AGCAGCAGCCGCGGGAAUACAGAGGGUGCGAGCGUUAAUCGGAUUUACUGGGCGUAAAGCGCACGCAGGCGGUCUGUCAAGUCAGAUGUGAAAUCCCCGGGCUUAACCUGGGAACUGCAUUUGAAACUGGCAGGCUAGAGUCUUGUAGAGGGGGGUAGAAUUCCAGGUGUAGCGGUGAAAUGCGUAGAGAUCUGGAGGAAUACCGGUGGCGAAGGCGGCCCCCUGGACAAAGACUGACGCUCAGGUGCGAAAGCGUGGGGAGCAAACAGGAUUAGAUACCCCAGUAGUCCCUGUCUCUUAUAC
rnacentral:rRNA from 1 species